AGAAUCAACGCUGGCGGCGUGCCUAACACAUGCAAGUCGAACGAGAAAGUGGAGCAAUCCAUGAGUAAAGUGGCGCACGGGUGAGUAACACGUGACUAACCUACCCUUGAGUGGGGAAUAACCUAGGGAAACCUGGGCUAAUACCGCAUAACACCUACGGGUCAAAGGAGCAAUUCGCUUAAGGAGGGGGUCGCGGCAAAUUAGCUAGUUGGCGGGGUAAUGGCCCACCAAGGCAGUGAUCUGUA
rnacentral:rRNA from 1 species